UGGGCAAGGCAUACUGAAAGUGUGAGAUGGUCCAAAGUCCAAAAGUACCUGGGAGUGUUUCAAACUCGAACACCAUUUUAAAGACGGACGAGAAAGAAGAGGGAGUAAAAGAAGGAAUAAAACUGAAAAAAGAACGGAAGGCUGUACUGCAUGAAAAUCCCAGGAGGGCAGCUGUUUCUGUGAUGCUGGAACCACCACAUCUGGCACCAUCCAUCUGGCACAGUCAAAGUCGCUUAGAUCACACAUCUUGCCCAUUCUAAUAGAUAGGGGGCGCUGUUUCUAAAAUGAAUCUCUCAGAGGAGCCGAAGACCAAAGGAGGAACCCUCAGCAGUGAGAGGAAGAGGUAUAAAUGCAUGAAUCAGAUAU